rnacentral:rRNA from 1 species
ACGGGUGAGGAACACGUAGGAACCUGUCGUUAAGAGGGGGAUAACCAAGGGAAACUUUGGCUAAUACCGCAUACACUCGGAAGAGUAAAGGAGCUCGCAAGGGUUUCGCUUAAUGAGGGGCCUGCGUCCGAUUAGCUAGUUGGUAAGGUAACUGCUUACCAAGGCGAUGAUCGGUAACUGGUCUGAGAGGACGACCAGUCACACUGGGACUGAGACACGGCCCAGACUCCUACGGGAGGCAGCAGUGGGGAAUAUUGGACAAUGGGGGCAACCCUGAUCCAGCGAUGCCGCGUGGGCGAAGAAGGCCUUCGGGUUGUAAAGCCCUUUAGGUUGGGAAGGAGCGAGUGGGGGGAAAUACCCAUUUGUUGACGGUACCGACAGAAUAAGCACCGGCAAACUCUGUGCCAGCAGCCGCGGUAAUACAGAGGGUGCGAGCGUUAAUCGGAUUAACUGGGCGUAAAGGGCGCGUAGGUUGUAAGAGGAGUGUGAUGUGAAAGCCCCGGGCUUAACCUGGGAAGUGCAUCGCAAACGCUCUAACUAGAGUACAUGAGAGGGUGUUGGAAUUUC